rnacentral:rRNA from 1 species
GUGACUGCGUACCUUUUGUAUAAUGGGUCAGCGACUUAUAUUCUGUAGCAAGGUUAACCGAAUAGGGGAGCCGAAGGGAAACCGAGUCUUAACUGGGCGUUAAGUUGCAGGGUAUAGACCCGAAACCCGGUGAUCUAGCCAUGGGCAGGUUGAAGGUUGGGUAACACUAACUGGAGGACCGAACCGACUAAUGUUGAAAAAUUAGCGGAUGACUUGUGGCUGGGGGUGAAAGGCCAAUCAAACCGGGAGAUAGCUGGUUCUCCCCGAAAGCUAUUUAGGUAGCGCCUCGUGAAUUCAUCUCCGGGGGUAGAGCACUGUUUCGGCAAGGGGGUCAUCCCGACUUACCAACCCGAUGCAAACUGCGAAUACCGGAGAAUGUUAUCACGGGAGACACACGGCGGGUGCUAACGUCCGUCGUGAAGAGGGAAACAACCCAGACCGCCAGCUAAGGUCCCAAAGUCAUGGUUAAGUGGGAAACGAUGUGGGAAGGCCCAGACAGCCAGGAUGUUGGCUUAGAAGCAGCCAUCAUUUAAAGAAAGCGUAAUAGCUCACUGGUCGAGUCGGCCUGCGCGGAAGAUGUAACGGGGCUAAACCAUGCACCGAAGCUGCGGCAGCGACGCUUAUGCGUUGUUGGGUAGGGGAGCGUUCUGUAAGCCUGUGAAGGUGUGCUGUGAGGCAUGCUGGAGGUAUCAGAAGUGCGAAUGCUGACAUAAGUAACGAUAAAGCGGGUGAAAAGCCCGCUCGCCGGAAGACCAAGGGUUCCUGUCCAACGUUAAUCGGGGCAGGGUGAGUCGACCCCUAAGGCG